AACAGCAUUUGACAAAGCAAAAUAAAAUGUAAAAUCAAUUUAAAUUCAAAAAUUUAACAAAGAAUGCAUUUCCAUUAUAACAUAGUAAAACACUUUGUUUCAUAGAUACAUAAAAUUUAUACUAAAACACUUAAUACAAUCGUGAGAUGUACGUAGAAUCCAGCUCAAUGUUACAACAUAAACCCUUGAUGAUAUAGUCUAGCAAAUAUUAUAAACUAACCGCAAAUCCGGUGAUUUCCAUUUCAAAUGACAACAACCAGAAGAUCUUAAUAAUGGUCUAAUGAUAAUCUACUCCUAUCUCAAGUUAUUAAUUAACAACCCCAGGAACAAAGACGAUGAUGUAUAAAGUCUAUGCGAAUGUCGACAGAAUAGAGAUGAGCAGGAAGAAAGUGAAAUAAAAUCAGCUCCAAUUAAUUUAUGAGCAUUCAAGAAUACAAAUUACAGAAACGAGCUUCAUGGCAUUGAUAAGUGAUGAAUACCCUGAAAAAGACACAUAACUCCAUCACUACCCUUGCUAGGUAGGAACGAACCUUUCAACUGAAAAUACAAAAUGUGAAUCCUUUGUUGACCAUUUUAUGAGCUGUGAGCAGUAAGUAAGUAAGU